CGAUAGCUCAGUUGGUAGAGCGACGGACUGUUAAUCCGCAGGUCCCAGGUUCGAGCCCUGGUCG
rnacentral:tRNA from 1 species